GUACGCAGCUCUUACAAGGUCUCUCCUGAUUGGUUCGAUCAAACAAUCGAAAACAAUAGGUCGCUUAAAAUUCAAAAUGGCGGACGAUAAUCGUGAAGGGUAAACAGAUGCAAUCAUGAGUAGCGUUGGAGCGGUAUGUUUUCCUUUUCAGUUUUAAAAGCCUGGUAACAGUUAAUCUAUAUACAAAUAAUUGUAACAGUCCUGCAUUGCGGUUGAAUUUUGGCAUUUUUGCGUUUUAAGUGUAGAUGUUCCCUAAACGCGCUUUAAGCAGUAAUUUUCCACGAAUUUCAAAACAACACUUUAUUCAACUUAUUUAUAGAUGAUUCAUGCACAUGUUUAGUUUAAGAAAGCUGACACAGUUAAUACUAUGAUAGUGAAAUUUUAAACUAUUAUUCACCUCAUCCACCUGGAAUAACUGAUUGUAUUUAAAAAGGAAACAAAUUCUAUGGACAUGGACACUUUUCCGCAGCCACUUUUCAUGGCUAAGAAUUGUGAUAAUGCCUUUAAGUGUUCUUUAGAUAUUUUUAUUUCAACAAAAACAAUUAGCUUCUGCUUGGAUCAGUUUCAAACUGUGAAAUACCUAGCUCUUUAACACUAAAAUUCUUAUUUUAACUACGUUCUUUAAUAUUUACUCGUAAAUUUUUAAUUGUAGAUUUGUAAAUUCACUAGACGUUAUUAUUGUAAUUUCGGAGGGCCACGUGUUCGUAAGGUUUUUGAUUUGCUAUUAAGUGUCACCCUCAUAAAAUUAAGUCUCUACUACCACUACUACUACUUAAGUCUCUACUACUAAAGUCUCUACUACUAAAACACUGACAACUCACUGAACUGAUUUCUCCUGCUUUCCUUGUAUCACCCAUUCGGUAAGUUAUUUAAUUCUGGCAGCAAAUAAACAAGAUUAAGCAACUAGUAUUAACAUAGUCAACAGUUUAAAACAGUUUCCUUAAAUACCACUGGCUAAAUUCAAAGAAUCGGAAUUGAGUCUACAGCAAAGGUUUUUCAGCUGCACAAUCAGAAAGGGUAACACUGACUUGUAAGUUUGAAGUUAGCUCUUUAUAAUAGCAAAUCGAUGGAAUUGGUCCCUUUCAAUCUUUUCUGUAGGUUUCAAAUGAACCUUGAGGGAACUUCUUUGUGCUGCGACAAUGGCCUCGUUUUGGUAAAAGUCCAUCAAAAAGUUAAACAAAAAGUGCAAACCAAAGUUUUGCGAACAAGUACUCCUCAACCUGGACUGGUUUUUCCUUGCAUUUUCAGAUUCCUGGGUACUUGUUGUUAUACAGUUGGCCUGCUGACAUAGGUUAAUGUCAUGGAAAAGACACAGUGGGGAUUUGUGAGGCUUGCUUGAUGCAUGAAAUCUGUCCUGUAGCACAAAUCUUCUGGUUGUUCCAGUGUAGGGAUGUUGUACAUCGUCACCAACUGUAUGACUUGUAGUGGACACAUGGUUAAUACUGGGGGCCAUUUUGUACUCUGCUGGCACAAGUUCUGGAAAAUUGUGGUCCUGUCAUUUAUAAGUUGAGAAGAACCGAUCUAAGUAUUUUUCAUGACUUUGUAUAUGGUGUCUCACAAAGCCACAUGGGGAGUCAUUAAUCAGGACAAUGGGCUUGUACUUGACAGAUAGAUAGAGAUCUGAAGCAUCCCGGACAGACUCUGACAGCACUAGUGUCUUUGAUGCCACAGUGCACUAUUGCAUAAAAUUUCAAAGAAAACAUUUUCAGUGAAUAAAAAAUCUGCAAAAUUGUCAUAGUAUCCGCGGGGUAUUCCAUGGCUUCGGAAGCCUGGACUGGACCGGCACACAUGUAGUCCAGCAUGGCGGCCAUGUUUCUUCCAUGUAGGAAUAAACUCCCAAAUACAUACUAUUUCAGAAAUGUAGGUUUGUGUUCGUGAGACAUUGAUGGUAUUUGGUGGUCUUGUUAAUCAGCUUGUCUUGGAUAUUUAAUCUAACCCUGAACAUAGAGAUUUGCCUUAUUAUAGUAUGCUAGCCAUAUACCCUGAUUAACAAAGGGGUUUGUUUUAUUAUGAACAGCAUAGCCUGAUUUACUGUAGCUUACCCCAUGCCUGCAAACCAUAUGGUAGAACCCUCCAGUUUUACCCUCCUUUUUGUUGUAUCCAUGACAUGGACAAAAUCCAUAUAAUAUUCCUUUAUAUAGUGCAUAUAUGUCUGAUCUCAUCUUUGCCUGAAAUGAAAUCAUAGUAAAGAUUUUUUACUUGCCAGAGUUUGAGAGGGGUUUACUUAGGUUGUGUCAUAUCUGAUAGUGUAAUUUUGUCUGAUAAUUGAUAAUUGAUAAUACAGAUAUAUUUAUUUGCUCUGUAUUCUCUAACCAUAAUUAAGAUGUUGACAUUUGAAUAAUUUAGUUGAGCCCAUCUUCUGACUUGUGUGUAUAUUUUCAAUUAAUAAAUGUUGACCACCUACAAGUA